CUGUCCAGACCCUGACCCUCCCUCCCAAGGCUCAACCGUCCCCCAACAACCCCCAGCCUUGUACUGAUGUCGGAUGCGAGAGCCUGUGCUUAAGUAAGAAUCAGGCCUUAUUGGAGACAUUCAAGCAAAGGUUGGACAACUACUUUUCCAGAACAGAAAGGAAACUCAUGCAUCAGAAAAGGUGACUAAUAAAGGUACCAGAAGAAUAUGGCUGCACAAAUACCAGAAUCUGAUCAGAUAAAACAGUUUAAGGAAUUUCUGGGGACCUACAAUAAACUUACAGAGACCUGCUUUUUGGACUGUGUUAAAGACUUCACAACAAGAGAAGUAAAACCUGAAGAGCAGAAUGAAGCCCUGGCAGCCAAAGCAGGACUCCUUGGCCAACCACGAUAGAGAAGUCCUGAUGGAUGAACUUUUGAUGAAAGAUUGCCAACAGCUGCUUUAUUGG
rnacentral:lncRNA from 1 species